rnacentral:lncRNA from 9 species
GGGGGGUGGGUGUGGGUGUGAAGAAGUGUGCUGAGUUACCGUGAAUGAGGACCUGCGUCUAGCAGUUACCGUAGAAACGUGACGUCAGUAAGGCGACCGUCACGACUUUUUAAUGGAGACCGAAGCGGCCUGGCUAAGAGAACAGCUCCUCAGGCCGGUGGCCGAGCUCAUAUCAAGUGUCUGAAGGAAGCAGGCUGUGAGAGUCUGUGUCCAGAGGGCGGCUGGAGCUUCUACUCCAGAUUCAAGGGCAGUGGUCCUGAGGAGACCCCAAUGGUUCACACGUCUUUGGUGGGAUCUGAUUCCUGGUUCAAGAAGUUUGAUGAUGGCGGUACAUUGACGCCACCUCAUGACAGAAACCUGAACUGCAGUUUGAAUAUCGUGAAGCAGAAAGGUGGGAAGAAGGGGCUGUGACCCACACCCACCUGGCAGAGCUUUCUGGGAGUCUGGGUGGAAAGGGGGCAUUCCCAGGGUACAGGGAUAUUGAAAUAUCCCGACGGAAAGUGAAGCCUCCUCCUGUGCUGAAGAGAAAGCUUUAUGUGAGUGGAAGUAAAAGAUGAUUUAAAAUUUUUUAUUCUUUGAAACCUCUGGAUAAAUAGCUAGAAAUUAUAUUAGCCAAAAUGGAGCAAGACCAUUUAUAAUCUUUGUAAUCAUCUUUUACACUUUUAUGACCAUCUUUUCACAUAAACCUAUUUCUAUGAUGUAUUUUAAGUAUUUAUAUAAAAUUUCAAUUUUUAAUAUUAUUUGUAUCAUAUGAUGCUCCAAACUAUUCACCAGUAACCAAAUAGUGAAAAUCUAGUGCUUUACCAAAUUUUCUGUUACAAACAACAGUGUACUUAACACCCUUGCUCAUAUGUAUGCAUAUAUCUUUGUAAGUAUUUCUUUAUAAUUUCUUGAAAAUGUUCUUUAUAAACCAGGAAAAUUGUUAUAUUAAUACCACACUGGAUAUACUAUUACUAGUUUACAUUCCUAAUGUCAUUGUAAGAAAGUGCCUGUUCCUCCACACAUUAGAAAUAAUGUGAAUCCGGAUUUCUCUUGUGGUACAGUGGGUUAAGGAUCCAGCAUUGUCACGUAGUGGCUUGGGUUACUGCUGUGGUGCAGGUUUGAUCUCUGGCCUGGGAACUUCCGCAUGCCACAAGCAUGGUCAAAAGAAAGAAAUAAUGUGAGUCAGUGCUUUCCCUGUAGGUAACAAAUCAUCUCUCUUCAUUGUUUUCGUUUGGGGUUUUUUUUUUUUUGCCCCCACCCCGCCUUCAUGGCCUAUGGAAGUUCCCUGGGGCCAAGGAUGGAAACUGAGCCACAUCUGCAACCCAAGCCACAGCAGUACAACACCCAGUUCUUAACUGCUAGGCCAUCAGGGAACUCCUUUCCUCAUUUUUUUCAUUAUCACUUGUUCUUGCUACUUUGUUCUAGAACUGCAUUAUGAUGUUGGUGAAAAUAAACAAUCUAUAAUAGGAAUAGAAAAGAGUUUUAUUUGAGCCCAACUGAGGACUAUAGCCCUGGAAGACAGCCUCUCAGAUAACUGAGGAACUGUUCUGGAGAAGCAUAGUUUUCAGCAGUUUUAUAUCUUGUUGGAACAAAGAACAUUAAACAAGUCAGGGAUACAUUCCUUCAAGGUUUCCAAACAAACAAACAAAAAACAGAUCAGCAUGUACACAGUGAGUCAGUACAGCCUUGGCAGCUGGGAACAGAGUUUUAUCAUCAAAAGAGUAUCAGCAUUGACAUCCCAGGAAGGGAGACAUUUAAUCUUUUUUUUUUUUUUUUUUUAAAGAACGUUUUAACAUUUUGGCUGCACCCACAGCAGGCGGAAGUUCCCAGGUCAGGGACCGAACCCGAGCUACAGCAGUAACCCAAGGUACAGCAGUGACAAUGCUGAGUCCUCAACCACUAGGCCACCCCAUUAGGGAACUCCUAAUCCUUAUUUUUAACUUGGACAUUCUUUACUUCUGGUCAAUGCACCCUUUUAUUUAGUAAUUAAAGCAGAUGUACAAUGUAUAUUUGAAAGGUCACAAAGAGGCUAUUUUAGUUAGCACAGAAUUCAAGUUAACUCAUGUAUAAGCCAGAAUGACCCCCAUACCUCUAUAUGUGAAACUUUCUUUUAUCGGUAUGUAUGUGACAUAAUUAAUUCUCACAACCUUGUGUUAUAUAGAGUGUCUCUGAUAGUCCCUACUAACACUGUGGAUGGCAUCUUUCAGUAUUUGUAUAUUGCUAAAGGAUACAUUCUUCAUGGCUAUUUGCACGGUGAGCUGAAUGUGUCCCCUUUGAGUCUAGAAAACUGUCUUGGGAGAAUUCUAGUAUUAUGAUAACAGUAUCUGUUUGGGGUAUGAGUGUGUGUGUGUGUGCGUGCGCGCACGCGUGCACUGACAGCCACAAUUCCCUUCCGCUUCCUUCUGUGCCUUUAUGGCUUUGCUUCCCAUUUGGCUUCCCUUCCUAAAUUCGGGCCCAGAAGUAAAGCUAGGGAAAUACAAGGAAGGCAGUCUUUAUAACCCAAUCCUUAUCACCAUCCUUAACUAUGUCCUGAAUGUGAACUUCUAAGAGGAAAAUCAGUGGUGCAAAGAGUGUGCAACUAUUUGGCCCUUUGUGAAGUUCUGCCAUACUGACUCCCUAAAGUAGAGUCACGUGUGAAAGACCACAGUGGAGUAAGGAAGUAGUAAGGCUGACACCAUAUCACACAUGCCAGGCCCCCGGACUCUGUCCUGGACCCACUCUCAAGUCACCAGUACAAUGGGAAAAUGUGGAAGCGGUCAGACGGAAAUCAAACUUUGCAUAGAAUUGCAACCUGAAGUAACAUUUGUGCGGGGAAAGCAUUGCUUGGAGGAACAGAGGACAUAGAGUCAGUAGGCCUGGGAUACAGCCACACAGUUAUAGAAAUGAAUAUUUAUAUAAAACACAUGACUUAGAUAAAACACAUGCACCUAGACCUUUGUAUGGAAAAGAUUGGUUGUUACUGUAGUAAAACAAGACCAGGCCUAUAUCAUAUUCUAACAGUUUUUUUUUUUUUUUUUUGCAAUGUAAUUUACAGAGUACAAAGUCAAUAUUAAGUAUUUUCUGGAGUUCCCAUUGUGGCUUGGUGGUAACAACCCACCUAGUAUCUGUGAGGAUGUGGGUUUGAUCCCUGGCCUCACUCACUGGGUUAAGGAUCCAGCGUUGCCAUGAGCUGUGGUGUAGCUCGCAGAUGAGGCUUGGAUCUGGCGUUGCUGUGGCUGUGGCGUAGGCUGGCAGCUGCAGCCCUGAUUUGACCCCUAGCCUGGGAACCUCCAUAUGCUGCAAGUGCGGCCCUAAAAAGCAAGAAAAAAAAAUCUCUGUUUAACUGAGGAAGUGCCAGACUGUUUUAAUAACUCUGACAGUCUUGAGUACUGUGAUUAGACUGUGGUUAUUGGCUUUGAGAAAGAAUACACAGGGUUGACAUGCCCUUCUCAUCACACCAUAUCGGUGAAGACAUGGUACCCACAUGACAUCACUGGGUCACUGGAGAUGUUGACCUUCAUCACUGGGUCAAGAUGGGUUUCUCCAGUGUACAGUAACUGUUUCCCACUUGUCUCCUCUAUUCUUUAAAGUGAGUCACUAAAUCCGCCCUGCCCUCAGCAGUGGGAGGCAGAUUUCAGGUUCGCUUUAUACAGGCAGGGUAUCUACAUAUAUUAUUUAGAAUUAUUCAACAAAGAUAAUUUGUCUCUCUCAUUUCAUUAUUAAUUCAAAUAUUAUAUAAUUACUUGUUUAUAUCACCAUGGCUUCAUUUUAGAAUAUGUAUUUUGUUUAAUUUAGAAUCAUUCUAUUCUAAUCUAGAAUCUUUCUUUUUCUUUUUUUUUUUUUAACCGGAAACGGUUAUGACCUGCAUUUCUAUAUCACUUGGCUAAUAGGAACCUCCAGUGAGAGCAGUCCCCUCUGACCCUACUGUCCACUGGCUCAGACAGUCAGCAGUUGCAGCCCCUGAGCUCUAGCCAUUGCCUCCAAGUGUGGGAAAGUCCUCUGGGCUGAGUCAAUAAGUGACUUUCUGGAAUGUUCCAAGUUUGUGCGCUACUCUUCUCUUGUUUAAUCAUGGAUGUGCAUGGACAUGAAUCUAGAAUGGCCACUUGGCAUAUCUCUCUUCUCUUGCAGCAAAUUAUAGGAAUGAUUGAUGGUGACCAAUUAAGGUAACAGGGUGGUGGUUUUUCUUUUUUCUCAAAAUAUUUAAAUGUAGAGUUAUUUUCCUUUUCACUUUCAAGCACAUGUAUUUGACAAAUAAAACCCACCAUGUUAACUUGGCACAAUGAAAAGUACAUCUGAGUUCAAUGCCCAGUAAAAUGGAAUUGGUCCUGAUUUCAUUCUUUUUUUUUUUUUUUUUGCCUUUUGUCUUUUGUCCUUUUUUAAGGCCGCACCCUUGGCAUAUGGAGGUUCC